UACGUAGGGGGCAAGCGUUGUCCGGAAUCAUUGGGCGUAAAGAGCGUGUAGGCGGCCAGAUAAGUCCGCUGUGAAAUCUCGAGGCUCAACUUCGAGCUGUCGGUGGAAACUGUCUGGCUAGAGUCCGGAAGAGGAGAAUGGAAUUCCAGGUGUAGCGGUGAAAUGCGUAGAUAUCUGGAGGAACACCGGUGGCGAAGGCGGCAUCCUGGACCGGUAUUGACGCUGAGGAGCGAAAGCCAGGGGAGCAAACGGGG
rnacentral:rRNA from 1 species